CCUACGGGGGGCUGCAGUGGGGAAUAUUGGACAAUGGGGGCAACCCUGAUCCAGCCAUGCCGCGUGUGUGAAGAAGGCCCUCGGGUUGUAAAGCACUUUCAGUGAGGAAGAACGCCUGGUGGUUAAUACCCAUCAGGAAAGACAUCACUCACAGAAGAAGCACCGGCUAACUCCGUGCCAGCAGCCGCGGUAAUACGGAGGGUGCGAGCGUUAAUCGGAAUUACUGGGCGUAAAGCGCGCGUAGGUGGCUUGAUAAGCCGGUUGUGAAAGCCCCGGGCUCAACCUGGGAACGGCAUCCGGACCUGUCAAGCUAGAGUGCAGGAGAGGAAGGUAGAAUUCCCGGUGUAGCGGUGAAAUGCGUAGAGAUCGGGAGGAAUACCAGUGGCGAAGGCGGCCUUCUGGACUGACACUGACACUGAGGUGCGAAAGCGUGGGUAGCAAACAGGAUUAGAUACCCUAGUAGUC
rnacentral:rRNA from 1 species